rnacentral:rRNA from 1 species
CCUACGGGUGGCAGCAGUGGGGAAUAUUGCACAAUGGGGGAAACCCUGAUGCAGCAACGCCGCGUGAGUGAAGAAGGAUUUCGGUAUGUAAAGCUCUGUCAGCAGGGAAGAAGAAAGACGGUACCUGACUAAGAAGCACCGGCGAACUAUGUGACAGCAGCAGCGGUAAUACGUAGGGGGCAAGCGUUAUACGGAUUUACUGGGGGUAAAGCGAGCGUAGACGGUUGGUCAAGUCUGAAGUGAAAGCACGUGGCUCAACCGCGGAACUGCUUUUGAAACUGUAUAGCGUGCGUACUGGAGAGGCAGGCGGAAUUCCUAGUGUAGCGGUGAAAUGCGUAGAUAUUAGGAGGAACACCAGUGGCGAAGGCGGCCUGCUGGACAGAAACUGACGUUGAGGCUCGAAAGCGUGGGUAGCAAACAGGAUUAGAUACCCGAGUAGUC